rnacentral:rRNA from 1 species
AACGAACGCUGGCGGCGUGGAUUAGGCAUGCAAGUCGAACGAUUCCGAGUAAUCGGAAUAGUGGCAAAAGGGUGAGUAACGCGUAGGUAACCUACCUUCGAAAUUGGGAUAACUUCGCGAAAGCGGAGCUAAUACCAGGUAAGACCACGAUUCAUAAGGAUUGUGGUAAAAGAUGGCCUCUGUUUACAAGCUGUCAUUUGAAGAGGGACCUGCGUCCUAUCAGCUUGUUGGUGAGGUAACGGCUCACCAAGGCAUUUGACGGGUAGCUGGUCUGAGAGGAUGGUCAGCCACACUGGGACUGAGACACUGCCCAGACUCCUACGGGAGGCUGCAGUCGAGAAUCUUUAGCAAUGGGGGAAACCCUGACUAUGCGACGCCGCGUGAGCGAUGAAGGCCUUCGGGUUGUAAAGCUCUGUCAGGUGGGAUGAAUACUCUGUCCUGAAUAAGGACAGAGUUUGACCGUACCACCAGAGAAGCCACGCUAACU